GAUGAACGCUGGCGGCGUGCCUAAUACAUGCAAGUCGAGCGAACAGACGAGGAGCUUGCUCCUCUGACGUUAGCGGCGGACGGGUGAGUAACACGUGGAUAACCUACCUAUAAGACUGGGAUAACUUCGGGAAACCGGAGCUAAUACCGGAUAAUAUAUUGAACCGCAUGGUUCAAUAGUGAAAGACGGUUUUGCUGUCACUUAUAGAUGGAUCCGCGCCGCAUUAGCUAGUUGGUAAGGUAACGGCUUGCCAAGGCAACGAUGCGUAGCCGACCUGGGAGGGUGAUCGGCCACACUGGAACUGAGACACGGUCCAGACUCCUACGGGAGGCAGCAGUAGGGAAUCUUCCGCAAUGGGCGAAAGCUUGACGGAGCAACGCCGCGUGAGUGAUGAAGGUCUUCGGAUCGUAAAACUCUGUUAUUAGGGAAGAACAAAUGUGUAAGUAACUAUGCACGUCUUGACGGUACCUAAUCAGAAAGCCACGGCUAACUACGUG
rnacentral:rRNA from 1 species